GAACGCAACUUGCGCUCUCUGGUAUUCCGGAGAGCAUGCCUGUUUGAGUAUCAUGAAAUCUCAACCAUUAGGGUUUCUUAAUGGCUUGGAAUUGGGUGUUGCCAGUCGCCUGGCUCGCCUUAAAAGAGUUAGCGUGUUUAACUUGUCUAUCUGGCGUAAUAAGUUUCGCUGGUGUCGGCUUGAGAAGUACGCUUCUAAUCGUCUUCGGACAAUUCUUGAACUCUGGUCUCAAAUCAGGUAGGGCUACCCGCUGAACUUAAG
rnacentral:misc_RNA from 1 species